rnacentral:rRNA from 1 species
AUUGAACGCUGGCGGCAUGCCUUACACAUGCAAGUCGAACGGCAGCGCGGACUUCGGUCUGGCGGCGAGUGGCGAACGGGUGAGUAAUACAUCGGAACGUACCCUGUUGUGGGGGAUAACUAGUCGAAAGAUUAGCUAAUACCGCAUACGACCUGAGGGUGAAAGUGGGGGAUCGCAAGGCCUCACGCAGCAGGAGCGGCCGAUGUCUGAUUAGCUAGUUGGUGGGGUAAAGGCCCACCAAGGCGACGAUCAGUAGCUGGUCUGAGAGGACGAUCAGCCACACUGGGACUGAGACACGGCCAAGACUCCUACGGGAGGCAGCAGUGGGGAAUUUUGGACAAUGGGGGCAACCCUGAUCCAGCAAUGCCGCGUGUGUGAAGAAGGCCUUCGGGUUGUAAAGCACUUUUGUCCGGAAAGAAAUCGCGCUGGUUAAUACCUGGCGUGGAUGACGGUACCGGAAGAAUAAGCACCGGCUAACUACGUG